UACAGAGGAGCCAAGCGUUGUCCGGAUUGACUGGGCGUAAAGCGCACGCAGGCGGUCGCGCGCGUGGGGUGUGAAAUCUGGCCGCUUAACGGCCAGGCGCCAUCCCAUACGGCGCGACUGGAGUGAUGCAGAGGUCGGUGGAAUUGCCGGUGUAGUGGUGAAAUGCGCAGAUAUCAGGAAGAACACCCGUGGCGAAGGCGGCUCUCUGGUACGUGACUGACGCUGAGACGCGAAAGCGUGGGGAGCAAACAGG
rnacentral:rRNA from 1 species